ensembl:lncRNA
AAUUGAUAUCAGUCACACAAUGUAUGUCUACUGCAGAGGUAUUUAGCCUGGAAACUACAUGUAUUUAAGGAUUUUACCUGUAAACUUCUAUUUAAACACACAUGUCCCAUUUUAAGCAGAAUUCUCACAAAACAACAAUAAGAACUAUUUUCUAAGGAGUCAAACAUUUUUGAAAUUCUUAUCACAGUUCAGCCUUAUCUUGAUAAUUUAAGAUGAAAAAAGAGCUUACUUCAUCAGGAAAAUGGAAGUUCACUAAACAUACUGAAGCAGCUAUGCCAGCAGAAAGAUUCACUUUGGCUAGAAAACAAGUGUAGCAUUCCUAGUUUAGUCUAGUCUAAUCCUCCGUGAGUGUCAAGAUAGUUAUCAUACUGCCCCUGUUCCAUGCUUUUCUCAGAUUCAUCAGAAGACAGCAGGUUUAUGUUUUGUUAUUAUGUAUUAUACUCUUGUAAAGUUCAGUACUCUUCAGGACUCACCAUUUAACUUCUGAGUUUCUUUUCAAAUUUGUUUUGGUGGCUUCCUGUGCUACUAUCUGAACCACAAGGAUCUAGUGUGAUAGAGUUAUCUCAUAGUCUGGAUUCUAUAAAUUCCUUUUGAGACACAUCUUUGUUAUCUGACUCUCUGUUUCCAAAAAAGCUAUAGAACAUAAUGCUCCAAAGACAAAAUUUAAUAAUCAGUUAAGUAUCUUCCUAGCCUAGUCAUACUGAAUAAUACUUCCUAGGCUCACUUUAGAAAUACUUUGCUCCAGUGGGCUAUUAAUUUCAGUCCAAAAAGUGUGUCUUGGCUGCCAAGGGAACCCCAGACAGCUUAGUUUAGUCAGUGUGUGUAACUUUUAAAUAGCUAAAGCCUAUUUUAGGUGAGAUGAGUUCUUCCAAGUACUCCAAUGAAAAGAAGAUAGCAGUGAGAAAGGAGAAAGCUGUCAGGACUGCUUUUAUUUGCAGAAGUUCCUCUUUCCAGAAAGUUAGGAAAACUGUUAUUGCUUCUUUGCAAACACACAGCUCAAUAGUUUUAUGAGAUCUCUGAGAAUUCAUAAAGAAAUGUUCUCUUUAACAACAAAAGAAGAUGCAGUGGGACAGUCACAUCUUCCUGCUCCUGUCCAAAUUGCUUCUACUUUCAGUACCAGAUAUUUCAGUAUUCAGUAUCAUUUCAGCAUGAAGACAUUCUUACUAUAAAGAAAAAGUGCAGAAAAAUCUAAGUGAAAUCUGUAGUUGAGGAUCAUACAUAAGUGGAUGGCAGGAAUUGUGAAUAAGCUCAGUUUCUCUACCUUAGAGGGAGACUUUGAACAUUUCUGACAGGAUUUUGAAGUGAAUUCUGGUAUAUAGUAUUGCACAAGUAUGUCAAAUUAUGUUUUACACUAAUUUGGGACAGUGUCUUCUUAAAAUCUGAAUAUGAAUGUUUGAUAUAAUACAUGAAAGCAGGGAAAUUUCUUCAGUGAUACAUAAAUGUUGUUUUUGUACAGGAACAGCAAAAAUUGCUCAUAGGAAACAGAUUGCAUGGGUGAACAGAGAACCUACUUGGUCGUACUGACCUUGAGACUUAUCAAGGGCAACAGAUAAAUGUUUCUUGGUUGACUUGCUAUGAAGAAUUUCCUUUACCUAAAGAUAAUCACACAAUCCUCAUGAUUUAAACUGGAAACUAAUAUAAAUCUAUGCACAAUUACCUGUGGAUCAGCUGCUUAUCCUGUUAUGAAAUUAAUUCACCUUAAGCAGAAACAAUUAAGGAUUUGGGGAAAAAAAUGUGGUUACUGGCAAAAUAUCUCACUAGCAAAUCAAUUAAUUAUAUGAGCAUUUAGGAAUAUUUCUGUAAUCAGUUACAGCCUCUUGCCUGAACAAUUAAAGAGGGUAAUUUUCAAGAAUAUGGCAAUUGUAGUGUCCCCACUGCAGUAGUGUCAUUAGUUAAAAAAAAAUAAAUACAGUCUUUGCCCCGUGUCCCUAAGAUGCUUUGAUUCUCUAGAAUCUUGUCAUUUUAAAUAGUCUAGCACAUUCCUCUUGAUACUCACGGAAUUAUGGUAAGUAUUCCCAAUAUGCACCAAUGUCAAGAGUGAUUCUUUUGAAAUUUCAGAAUCUUUUGUGCUUGAGAAAACAAGUAGUGCUUUCACGUGAAUAUUCUUCUAAUAACAAUAAGAAAAACUUUUACUUUAUAGAUUUAAUCUGACCAAACCAAUAAUUUUCUUUUCAGUUGUAUGUUUUAACUCCUCCUACAUUUUGGAGUAUCUCCCUAUUGUGUUCUCUCUCUUUGACAUUUGAAGAAGUGAAGGAGUGUAACGUUCUGAUGAGGUAUUUACUGACAGCCACCAGAUCACAUCCCAGCUGUGCUGGAACAGAUUUCAGGCAAUGCUAUUUGAAUUAGCAUCAAUAGGUUUAUUUAUUCAUUCAGCUUUCUCCAAACCUGUAAGUAGUCUUUCUUCUUCUUUAUCCCUCUCACACAU